UACGUAGGGUGCGAGCGUUAAUCGGAAUUACUGGGCGUAAAGCGUGCGCAGGCGGUUUUGUAAGCCAGAUGUGAAAUCCCCGGGCUUAACCUGGGAAUGGCAUUUGGGACUGCAAGGCUUGAGUGCGGCAGAGGAGACUGGAAUUCCUGGUGUAGCGGUGAAAUGCGUAGAUAUCAGGAGGAACACCUGUGGCGAAAGCGGCUCACUGGACCAUAACUGACGCUGAUGCACGAAAGCUAGGGGAGCAAACAGG
rnacentral:rRNA from 1 species